GACUCGUUAAAAGUUGAAAACGCGGCGGCGAUGAAUUGAGAACGCGGUUCAAAAUUAUAGGAAGCAAAGGACUCGUUAAAAGUUGACAAGCUUUUACGUAUUCCAGUGAAAGAACUCAUAAACUCACAUUUUAAAGAAUCCCAAGAUGCACUGCCUUCUCAGCAAUGGUGGUUUCUGGGUUCGGCUUGUAGCUUGCUUACUACUCCUCUUGUGGCCUCUGCUGAUAGAAGCAAGAAUUUCAAGUUUCUCAGCUAUUGAAGGGAGACUAAUGCACGGCCGGAGUACAAGGGAAAUUCCUCCUCAAAAUAUAUAUCCUCCAGCAGCAAAUCCCCAACGUGGCCACGGCUAAAACGGUCUCAGCAUGCCUUUCACUCCAUCAACCUGACUCUCAUAUCAGUUACUGAAUUAAACUGUUAUUUCUCUUCUUAAUUAUUUCAUGAUAUGAAAAUCUCAGAUUACAAUAUUAUUGGUGAUUUUUUUUUUUUUUAACAACAGAAUUGAGGAAUAGGAACUAGAAAUUGAAUUUGCCCUACUUAUAAUGUUUCAACUCUCUUCUAUAUAUUGUAGUUUCGAAUAUACAAUAUUUGACAUUAACUUAUUUCUAUUUUAUCUA